GGGCGCGUAGCUCAGUGGUAGAGCAUCGCUCUGAUAAGGCGAGGGUCGGAAGUUCGAUCCUUCCCGCGCCCA
rnacentral:tRNA from 1 species